rnacentral:rRNA from 1 species
GACGAACCGUGCGAACGUUGUUCGGAAUCACUGGGCUUAAAGGGCGCGUAGGCGGGCUAUCAAGUCCGGGGUGAAAUCCUCCAGCUUAACUGGAGAACGGCCUCGGAUACUGAUGGUCUCGAGGGGGAUAGGGGCACACGGAACUGUGGGUGGAGCGGUGAAAUGCGUUGAUAUCCAUAGGAACUCCGGUGGCGAAAGCGGUGUGCUGGAUCCCUUCUGACGCUGAGGCGCGAAAGCCAGGGGAGCGAACAGG